UACGUAGGGUGCGAGCGUUGUCCGGAAUUAUUGGGCGUAAAGGGCUCGUAGGCGGUUUGUCGCGUCGGGAGUGAAAUCCACUGGCUUAACUGGUGGCUUGCUUUCGAUACGGGCAGACUGGAGGUAUGCAGGGGAGAACGGAAUUCCUGGUGUAGCGGUGAAAUGCGCAGAUAUCAGGAGGAACACCGGUGGCGAGGGCGGUUCUCUGGGCAUGUCCUGACGCUGAGGAGCGAAAGUGUGGGGAGCGAACAGG
rnacentral:rRNA from 1 species